GCAGCAAGGCGGGAAGCAGCAGACAGUAGGGUUGCAGAAACUACCUACGCAGCAGCAAUCAGGCUCACUGGACUUACUUUUCAAGAAGUUAAGGAAGAUAACUGGAGAUGUGAUAACGAUACCAGAAGACUGAGAAGAAACUGCCCCUCAUUAGAAAGAUGAUGGAGACCACAUUUCCCC